GAAAAAUUCUUUAUGCUGAGUGGAUUUUUGUCUGUGUGCCGUUUGCUCUCACUGGAGCUGUAUGGAAUAAAAUGUCUAACACCGCUUCCACAAAUAUUUGAAGACUGUGAACACAUUUCCUCCUUCCACUCAUUCCACAAGGGUCCUUUUCUUUAGACUAAACAUGCCCAGUUAUUUCAAACAGCGAGGCAGUGUGGGCCAGUGGAAGGAACGCCAGCUCUGGAGCCAGACCAUC
rnacentral:lncRNA from 1 species